rnacentral:rRNA from 1 species
UGGGGAAUAUUGGACAAUGGGCGAAAGCCUGAUCCAGCCAUGCCGCGUGUGUGAAGAAGGUCUUCGGAUUGUAAAGCACUUUAAGUUGGGAGGAAGGGCAUUAACCUAAUACGUUAGUGUUUUGACGUUACCGACAGAAUAAGCACCGGCCAACUCUGUGCCAGCAGCCGCGGUAAUACAGAGGGUGCAAGCGUUAAUCGGAAUUACUUGGCGUAAAGCGCGCGUAGGUGGUUUGUUAAGUUGGAUGUGAAAUCCCCGGGCUCAACCUGGGAACUGCAUUCAAAACUGACUGACUAGAGUAUGGUAGAGGGUGGUGGAAUUUCCUGUGUAGCGGUGAAAUGCGUAGAUAUAGGAAGGAACACCAGUGGCGAAGGCGACCACCUGGACUAAUACUGACACUGAGGUGCGAAAGCGUGGGGAGCAAACA